rnacentral:rRNA from 1 species
UACAGAGGUGGCAAGCGUUGUUCGGAAUUACUGGGCGUAAAGGGCGCGUAGGCGGCUCGAUACGUCCCGCGUGAAAUCCCCCGGCUCAACUCGGGAACUGCGUCCGAUACUGGCGGGCUUGAAUCCGGGAGAGGGAUGCGGAAUUCCAGGUGUAGCGGUGAAAUGCGUAGAUAUCUGGAGGAACACCGGUGGCGAAGGCGGCAUCCUGGACCGGCAUUGACGCUGAGGCGCGAAAGCUAGGGGAGCAAACGGG